AUUCAAUGUUGCCCUUAUAGGUAAAUUUGAUUCGGUUCUUGUUCAGGUUGUCUUAUGUCCAGAAUCGUGAAAAGAAUUGAGUUUGUGAACCGAGGCAUCACUGUAUAUUUAAGAAUUCCUACAUAUUGGAAAGGUCCUUAGGAGGGAGCCGGUGUCUUAUCCUUAUGCCCUAACCCUCACAGGUAUCCUGGUCAUUGGCCAGAGCCCUCUGGAGAGCAGAAGAGGCUGCAGCUUGCUGAAGAUGGAGGUGAAGGGUCAGGGUGGGAUUCGAGGAGAGGAACAAAAGCCAGACUCUGAGCAAACUUGCUGCAGGAGGCCUCUCCAAUUGGAAGGAAUAACACUCUGGUACCAUGUUGGGACCGAGACUCUUGAUUAAUAAAUGAUUGGGACACAGAGCACGGUAGCUCUUGUCAGCAUCCCCACUUCACAGGUGAAGAAACAAGUUCAGAGGAGUUGUGUGAUUGGCUCAACCCAGCCCGUGAAGAUCAUCCGGGCUAGAAACGAAGAGAGUCGGAGCCUAGACAUGACAUCUGCUCUCUGCACCAUCCAGAGCUCUGUGAUGCACAGGACACCCUGGCAUCCUGAUGGAGCUAGAACUCACGGACAUCACAGCGCCCCAGGACUCUCCUGGACUGUGCUUCUGGGCCAUGUACACCGAAGAGGCACUGAUUAGAGCUGAGUGCCAUUGCUCCUGCCCGAGAGUUUGGCUGUCAGGAUGCAGGUGAUGAGGCCGAAGUUGCUGCCUAUAUCAGGUUGUUUCCUUGGAGCUUGUCUCCUACUGGUCAUCUGCCUGCCUGUCUCUGUCAGCGGUAAGGUUGAAUGAAAAGAAGCACUGUGCAGAAAAAGAAGAGCUGUGGCGCAUUAGCUCACCGACAGUACCUCAAUCCCUCCCCAAAUAAAUCUCCAGCACUUUUUCUUUUUGUUAAUGUACUGAAGCAGGAGCCUGGAAUACUGUGGGGAAAUGGGUCAGAUUUAUCUCUGCCCUUUUAGAGCAGCCAUGGACUCUUCAUUUACUUACCCGAAGAUUUCCUUGUCACAAUCCAACCCCAAGAAAUUGAGUCAUAAAUUGAGAGGCCAUAUGUGAAAGGACUUUAAAAUCUCUGAAGUGCUAAAGAAAUAAAAAUUACUGCUGUCAUUUCUAUCUUCUUGGCUUUAUUGGAAGAGGGCUUUGCCUCUGCUCCCAGGAUUCCUGUUAAAGAUCUCCUCCUUGUUGGAUUCUUGCAUUAGACCCCCACCUUGAAAUAAAAUUCAUAUAGUAUUUGAGUUCCUACCAUGUUCAAAUAUAUAAUCUUAUCGAAUCUCUAAAACCUAC
rnacentral:lncRNA from 1 species